rnacentral:lncRNA from 1 species
GGCUUUGGAAAUUUGAGCUCGCGUGAGGUCACCCUCCUAGGCAGGUCUAGAAGCCAUAUGAACCCAAACUGCAAGUUUUGAGCAAGGACGACACCAUUUUAUUUGUUGCUUCUGGUUAAGGGAUGAACCUCACACAAAUGGACCCUAUACUCAUGUGGGUUUAGUCUCUCUUUUCUAGAAUAGAAGGUUGGGUGUCUCAAACAACGUCGUCUGCCUCAUGCGUCCUGAGGGAACUGUCCUCACAUGAGUGGACCCUGUGCUCGCUUGAGGUCACCCGUAUGAUGAGAAUAGAAAAUAUUUUCUUCAAUUUUGGUUAGUUUUAUAUGUUUUAUUUAAAAUAUGUCUUAUUUAAAUUUUGACUCUUUAUUUACCUCACAUGUUUAUUCAUUUCUCUUAAUCACAUUAUUUAUUUUAGUUUUA